rnacentral:rRNA from 1 species
AUUGAACGCUGGCGGCAGGCCUAACACAUGCAAGUCGAGCGGAUGAGGGAAGCUUGCUUCCCGAUUUAGCGGCGGACGGGUGAGUAAUGCCUAGGAAUCUGCCUAUUAGUGGGGGAUAACGUUCCGAAAGGAACGCUAAUACCGCAUACGUCCUACGGGAGAAAGUGGGGGAUCUUCGGACCUCACGCUAAUAGAUGAGCCUAGGUCGGAUUAGCUAGUUGGUAAGGUAACGGCUCACCAAGGCGACGAUCCGUAGCUGGUCUGAGAGGAUGAUCAGCCAAACUGGAACUGAGACACGGUCCAGACUCCUACGGGAGGCAGCAGUGGGGAAUAUUGGACAAUGGGCGAAAGCCUGAUCCAGCCGUGCCGCGUGUGUGAAGAAGGUCUUCGGAUUGUAAAGCACUUUAAGUUGGGAGGAAGAGUUGUAAGCUAAUAUCUUGCAGCUUUGACGUUACCAACAGAAUAAGCACCGGCUAACUCUGUGCCAGCCGCCGCAGUAAUAC